rnacentral:misc_RNA from 1 species
UUAGGUGCGAUAUCUAAUGUGACACGCAUACUUUGUGAAUCAUCGAGUUUUUGAACGCAUAUUGCACUCUUUGGCAACAAAGAGUAUGCUUGUUUGAGUGUCGUAUGUUUCCAUCCAAACGGCCUCUGUUUUGCAGAGGGGCGUUAGGGAAGUGAAGGUACAGCUUGCAUUUUCAGGCUGUCCUUUAAAAUUUAGGUAACAGGCUUGCGCGUUACCGCAGUGUCCUAGAGUGUGCGUCUAAAGAACUUGUUCUUAUUGAAAACACUAACAGGCCUGUGGGGUUAUACGUAACAAGUUAGUUACUAAAAUACUUUAACUUUUGACAAUAGACCUCAAAUCAAGUAAGAUUACCCGCUGAACUUAA